rnacentral:rRNA from 1 species
GGGUUGUGAGGUUAAGCGAAUAAGCGUACACGGUGGAUGCCUAGGCAAUCAGAGGCGAUGAAGGACGUGCUAAUCUGCGAAAAGCGUCGGUAAGGUGAUAUGAACCGUUAUACCCGACGAUAUCCGAAUGGGGAAACCCAGUAUCCAAUGGAUACUAUCAUUAACUGAAUCCAUAGGUUAAUGAGGCGAACCGGGAGAACUGAAACAUCUCAGUACCCCGAGGAAAAGAAAUCAACCGAGAUUCCCCUAGUAGCGGCGAGCGAACGGGGAGCAGCCCAGAGUCUUAAUCAAUAGCAGUGUCAGGAGAACGGUCUGGAAAGUCCGGCAGUAAAGGGUGAUAGCCCCGUAUCUGAAGAUGCUGUUAUUGUGAACUCGACGAGUAGGGCGGGACACGUGUUAUCCUGUCUGAAUAUGGGGGGACCAUCCUCCAAGGCUAAAUACUCCUGAUUGACCGAUAGUGAACCAGUACCGUGAGGGAAAGGCGAAAAGAACCCCGGCGAGGGGAGUGAAAAAGAACCUGAAACCGUGUACGUACAAGCAGUAGGAGCCUCUUUAUGGGGUGACUGCGUACCUUUUGUAUAAUGGGUCAGCGACUUAUAUUCUGUAGCGAGGUUAACCGUAUAGGGGAGCCGUAGGGAAACCGAGUCUUAACUGGGCGAAUGAGUUGCAGGGUAUAGACCCGAAACCCGGUGAUCUAUCCAUGGGCAGGUUGAAGGUUGGGUAACACUAACUGGAGGACCGAACCGACUAAUGUUGAAAAAUUAGCGGAUGACUUGUGGAUGGGGGUGAAAGGCCAAUCAAACCGGGAGAUAGCUGGUUCUCCCCGAAAGCUAUUUAGGUAGCGCCUCGUGAAUUCAUCUUCGGGGGUAGAGCACUGUUUCGACUAGGGGGUCAUCCCGACUUACCAACUCGAUGCAAACUGCGAAUACCGAAGAAUGUUAUCACGGGAGACACACGGCGGGUGCUAACGUCCGUCGUGAAGAGGGAAACAACCCAGACCGCCAGCUAAGGUCCCAAAGUCAUGGUUAAGUGGGAAACGAAGUGGGAAGGCUCAGACAGCCAGGAUGUUGGCUUAGAAGCAGCCAUCAUUUAAAGAAAGCGUAAUAGCUCACUGGUCGAGUCGGCCCGCGCGGAAGAUGUAACGGGGCUAAACCAUGCACCGAAGCUGCGGCAGCGACACAAAGUGUUGUUGGGUAGGGGAGCGUUCUGUAAGCCUGCGAAGGUGUACUGUGAGGUAUGCUGGAGGUAUCAGAAGUGCGAAUGCUGACAUAAGUAACGAUAAUGCGGGUGAAAAACCCGCACGCCGGAAGACCAAGGGUUCCUGUCCAACGUUAAUCGGGGCAGGGUGAGUCGACCCCUAAGGCGAGGCUGAAAAGCGUAGUCGAUGGGAAACGGGUUAAUAUUCCCGUACUGGUGGUAACUGCGAUGGGGGAACGGAGAAGGCUAGGUUGUCCGGGCGACGGUCGUCCCGGUUCAAGCAGGUAGGCAGAGUGAUUAGGCAAAUCCGGUCACUUAAUGCUGAGAUGUGAUGACGAACCACUAAGGUGGUGAAGCAAUUGAUGCCCCGCUUCCAGGAAAAGCCUCUAAGCUUCAGGUUACCAACAAUCGUACCCCAAACCGACACAGGUGGUCAGGUAGAGAAUACUCAGGCGCUUGAGAGAACUCGGGUGAAGGAACUAGGCAAAAUGGUGCCGUAACUUCGGGAGAAGGCACGCUGGCGGUAGGUAAAGUCCCUUGCGGACGGCGCUGAAGCCAGUCGAAGAUACCAGCUGGCUGCAACUGUUUAUUAAAAACACAGCACUGUGCAAACACGAAAGUGGACGUAUACGGUGUGACGCCUGCCCGGUGCUGGAAGGUUAAUUGAUGGGGUCAGCCGUAAGGCGAAGCUCCUGAUCGAAGCCCCAGUAAACGGCGGCCGUAACUAUAACGGUCCUAAGGUAGCGAAAUUCCUUGUCGGGUAAGUUCCGACCUGCACGAAUGGCGUAAUGAUGGCCAGGCUGUCUCCACCCGAGACUCAGUGAAAUUGAACUCGCUGUGAAGAUGCAGUGUACCCGCGGCAAGACGGAAAGACCCCGUGAACCUUUACUAUAGCUUGACACUGAACAUUGAGCCUUGAUGUGUAGGAUAGGUGGGAGGCUUUGAAGUGUGGACGCCAGUCUGCAUGGAGCCAACCUUGAAAUACCACCCUUUAACGUUUGAUGUUCUAACCUAGGCCCAUAAACUGGGUCGGGGACCGUGUCUGGUGGGUAGUUUGACUGGGGCGGUCUCCUCCUAAAGAGUAACGGAGGAGCACGAAGGUUGGCUAAGCAUGGUCGGACAUCAUGCGGUUAGUGCAAAGGCAUAAGCCAGCUUGACUGCGAGAGUGACGGCUCGAGCAGGUACGAAAGUAGGUCUUAGUGAUCCGGUGGUUCUGAAUGGAAGGGCCAUCGCUCAACGGAUAAAAGGUACUCCGGGGAUAACAGGCUGAUACCGCCCAAGAGUUCAUAUCGACGGCGGUGUUUGGCACCUCGAUGUCGGCUCAUCACAUCCUGGGGCUGAAGUAGGUCCCAAGGGUAUGGCUGUUCGCCAUUUAAAGUGGUACGCGAGCUGGGUUUAGAACGUCGUGAGACAGUUCGGUCCCUAUCUGCCGUGGGCGUUGGAAGAUUGAGAGGGGUUGCUCCUAGUACGAGAGGACCGGAGUGAACGCACCACUGGUGUUCGGGUUGUCAUGCCAAUGGCAUUGCCCGGUAGCUAAGUGCGGAAGAGAUAACCGCUGAAAGCAUCUAAGCGGGAAACUUGCCUCGAGAUGAGUCUUCCCUGUCGCUUUAAGCGACCUAAAGGAACGUUUAAGACUAAGACGUUGAUAGGCUGGGUGUGUAAGCGUAGCGAUACGUUGAGCUAACCAGUACUAAUGAACCGUGAGGCUUAACCUGACAACACCGAAAGUGUUUUG